UCGCGGGGCGAAAACGCGAAAUGGCAGAAAACAUCCACCACAGGAAACAUUAUAUUGUUGGAGUAUUUUUGUGAAGAUGUUUUAUUGUAUGCAAUCUUUAAUACAUGAAAUGGUUAUAACGUUAAGUUGAGAAAACGGAACAUAACAAUUAUAUUUGACAUUUGAGCUCCAUUUGUAAUCUUGACUUUGAACUUUGAAACGGAUAGAUAAGCUUAUGGUCGAUUUUAAAACUUGUAGGUUCAUAUUUCGAUAUUUUCUAAGACUUUAAAAACCAAAUGCAUGCGAUGACUUAUAGAUUAGGCAGAUGACGGACCAGUAGGAAUGAGCAGGCUGCUAGAGGUCAACGGCAAAUAUUACUUGUUUGGACAUUUAACAUUUGAAGGAUUUACAUUAACAUAAAGGAUUUAAAAGACAAGAGAGGGCUUCCUUUCUUUCGAAAUACUAAGUUAAGAUUAGAUUAUAUGUAAAACAUUUUUAAAUUGAUACUUAUUGAAUUUAAUUCAACCAGGACAGGAUUUUGAUUAUUCUUGCAAAUUGGAAUCGGACUUAACGCCCAGUCCAGCAUGGCAACAAGAAACUCAGGGGCUCAAGCUGAGGACAUCACGAAGCAAAACGAGGACAGCACGCGGCAAAAUGAGGACAGCAUGCAGCAAAAUGAGGACACCAAGCUGACUAUUGAGUCGAUGCCUGAGAUAGAAAGGAAACAGCACGAGAAGAUGUCCAAUAAAGAUCGACAUAAACCAUCAGCGUUUGCCGUUGUCAUAAAGUGGUUGUUUACUAUAAUAUUUGGGAUUCUUCUUCUAGCUUGUCUAACCGUGAGCAAAACAUCGAUACUAGCUUUAUUCGAAGCAAUGAGCCUAGACCCAGAAUUGGAUAUCAAUUCAAGAUGCAGAUUGUUUGUCAAGUUACAGAUACUAACGCUUGUUCCUAACAUUAUUAAUCUUCUAAUAAGUCUGUGGGCCGGAGCGUUCAGACAAGACUUACCGAUGCCGUCUGGCAAAACUAUUCUUUGCGUAAGAUGUUUGUUUUCAUUUUUAUAGAAGGAAUGCUGAUUAGAGUAAUAUUUAAUUAAGUUGCUACAAUGUUUUUGAAGCGAUAGUCCUAUAUGCGGUAAUUCUUUAUACCACUACGGUGGUUCAAGUAUGAAUUGAAAGUAAACACUACAGAGUAAUUCAAUCAUAGUUUGUUCUCUUCCCUUAGUAAGUUAUCCACGGUUACAUAAUUGAAAAAAGAGAUAACUAUUAAACCGACGCUUCAAAUAAAACAUAGCCUGCAAGGUAGGUGUAUUUGCAAGUGGAAAUGUAUGGAAAUAAACAAGAAGCUUUUUUCUUGAAUUUGAAUUAAAUUAGAGCUUAUUGAAAUAGAAAAGGUGAAAACUUCACAGGUCACUCAACACGACAAAAAUGAAAAUUUUGCAGGCUCAGUUUUAUUGAGCCUGUUCAUGGACGGUAGUGAAAAUGCAUGCUACCGUCCACGCCCUCUAACCACGGGUUGCCCGAAACGAGAAAACAAUGGGCAGAACUAAACAAACUGGAAUUUAGAAAGCGGAUCUGAGGAUAUGGAGCCUGCAUAUCACAGGAAUUGUCAAAAGACAGAGUUAUAAAGCAGACACCAUAUUCAAGGGGUGAUUAUACAAUACCCAAGGCUAUGAAAGCGAAAGUAUUGGAACCACCCGGCCGAAAUGAUCUUGCUGAGAAACUAAACAGUACAAAAACACAACAUAAAAGUCGUGCUGAACGAUCUGACCCAUGGUGGUUUUAGUUCAUAAGUGAUCUGUUUUCAGUCGAAACUCUUCUAUCGUUGUCGAAGAUCAUGAUUGUAUUAACGAAAUGCCAAUUGAACUCAAUCAUUUUAGGAUGUCUGAUAUUUUGAAAAAGCACAUUAAGAAGCAGA